UAAUACGGAGGAGGCAAGCGUUGUUCGGAAUCACUGGGCUUAAAGCGUGCGUAGGCGGGAUGGCAGGUGUCUUGUGAAAGCCCUCGGCUCAACCGAGGAAUUGCUGGGCAAACCGUCAUUCUUGAGGCCAGCAGGGGGACCUGGAACUUUGGGUGGAGCGGUGAAAUGCGUAGAUAUCCAAGGGAACGCCGGUGGCGAAAGCGGGGUCCUGGGCUGGUUCUGACGCUGAGGCACGAAAGCGUGGGUAGCAAACAGGAUUAGAUACCCUGGUAGUCCACGCCGUAAACGAUGCGCACUAGGUAUCAGCGCCUCUGACGGGGUUGGUGCCGUAGCGAAAGCAUUAAGUGCGCCGCCUGGGGAGUACGGCCGCAAGGCUA
rnacentral:rRNA from 1 species